rnacentral:rRNA from 1 species
UAAGGAAUAUUGGUCAAUGGACGCAAGUCUGAACCAGCCAUGCCGCGUGAAGGAAGACGGCCCUACGGGUUGUAAACUUCUUUUGUACGGGAAAAAACCCUCGCUCGUGAGCGAGGCUGAUGGUACCGUAAGAAUAAGCAUCGGCUAACUCCGUGCCAGCAGCCGCGGUAAUACGGAGGAUGCAAGCGUUAUCCGGAUUCAUUGGGUUUAAAGGGUGCGCAGGCGGAAUGAUAAGUCAGUGGUGAAAUCCUACAGCUCAACUGUAGAACUGCCAUUGAUACUGUUGUUCUUGAGUACACUUGGAGUGGGCGGAAUGUGUCAUGUAGCGGUGAAAUGCUUAGAUAUGACACAGAACACCGAUCGCGAAGGCAGCUCACUAAAUUGUAACUGACGCUCAUGCACGAAAGCGUGGGGAUCAAACA